GCGGUGCGCUUAAUGCAUGCAAGUUGAGCGAAGCUUCAUGGUAGCUUGCUAUCGUGAAUGACUUAGCGGCGAACGGGUGAGUAACGCGUGAAUAAUCUGCCCCAAUUACUAGGAUAGCUCAGGGAAACCUGAAUUAAUACUGGAUAAUAUUUUUCAUUCUCAUGAAUUUAAAAUCAAAGGUCCGCCGAAUUGGGAUGAGUUCGCGUUCUAUCAGCUAGUUGGUAAGGUAAAAGCUUACCAAGGCAACGACGGAUAGCUGGUCUGAGAGGACGAUCAGCCACACUGGGACUGAGACACGGCCCAGACUCCUACGGGAGGCUGCAGCAGGGAAUCUUGCGCAAUGAGCGAAAGCUUGACGCAGCGACACCGCGUGUGGGAUGACGGAUCUAGGUUUGUAAACCACUUUCAGGAGGGAAGAAAUUGACGGUACCUCCACAAGAAGCCCCGGCCAACUACGUGCCAGCAGCCGCGGUAAUACGUAGGGGGCGAGCAUUGUCCGGAAUUAUUGGGCGUAAAGAGCUCGUAGGCGGUUCAACAAGUCGUUCGUGAAAGUUUAGAGCUUAACUCUAAAAUGUCGAUCGAUACUGUUGUGACUAGAAUACGGUAGAGGUGAGUGGAAUUCAAAGUGUAGCGGUGAAAUGCGUAGAUAUUUUGAGGAACACCAAUUGCGAAGGCAGCUCACUGGGCCGCUAUUGACGCUGAGGAGCGAAAGCUAGGGGAGCAAACAGGAUUAGAUACCCUGGUAGUCCUAGCUGUAAACGAUGGAUACUAGAUGUGGGAACUGGAUUGACGGUUUCCGUAUCGUANCUAACGCGUUAAGUAUCCCGCCUGGGGAGUAC
rnacentral:rRNA from 1 species